rnacentral:rRNA from 1 species
AGAGUUUGAUCAUGGCUCAGGACGAACGCUGGCGGCGUGCUUAACACAUGCAAGUCGAACGGAAAGGCCCCCACCUUGGUGGGGGUGCUCGAGUGGCGAACGGGUGAGUAACACGUGGGUGAUCUGCCCUGCACUUCGGGAUAAGCUUGGGAAACUGGGUCUAAUACCGGAUAGGACCAUGGUUUAGUGUCUCAUGGUGGAAAGAUUAUUGUUUUGGUGCAGGAUGAGCUCGCGGCCUAUCAGCUUGUUGGUGGGGUAAUGGCCUACCAAGGCGUCGACGGGUAGCCGGCCUGAGAGGGUGGACGGCCACAUUGGGACUGAGAUACGGCCCAGACUCCUACGGGAGGCAGCAGUGGGGAAUAUUGCACAAUGGGCGCAAGCCUGAUGCAGCGACGCCGCGUGGGGGAUGACGGCCUUCGGGUUGUAAACUCCUUUCGUUAGGGACGAAGCCGCACCUUUUUUGGGUGUGGUGACGGUACCUUUGUUAAGAAGCACCGGCUAACUACGUGCCAGCAGCCGCGGUAAUACGUAGGGUGCGAGCGUUGUCCGGAAUUACUGGGCGUAAAGAGCUCGUAGGUGGUUUGUUGCGUCGUCUGUGAAAUUCCGGGGCUUAACUUCGGGGUGGCAGGCGAUACGGGCAUAACUAGAGUGCUGUAGGGGAGACUGGAAUUCCUGGUGUAGCGGUGGAAUGCGCAGAUAUCAGGAGGAAACACCGAUGGCGAAGGCAGGUCUCUGGGCAGUAACUGACGCUGAGGAGCGAAAGCAUGGGGAGCGAACAGGAUUAGAUACCCUGGUAGUCCAUGCUGUAAACGGUGGGCGUUAGGUGUGGGGACCGGUUUGGUUUCUGUGCCGUAGCUAACGCAUUAAGCGCCCCGCCUGGGGAGUACGGCCGCAAGGCUAAAACUCAAAGGAAUUGACGGGGGCCCGCACAAGCGGCGGAGCAUGUGGAUUAAUUCGAUGCAACGCGAAGAACCUUACCUGGGUUUGACAUGCACCAGACGGUUGUAGAGAUACGUACCUCCCUUUGUGGUUGGUGUGCAGGUGGUGCAUGGUUGUCGUCAGCUCGUGUCGUGAGAUGUUGGGUUAAGUCCCGCAACGAGCGCAACCCUUGUCUUAUGUUGCCAGCACUUUGGGUGGGGACUCAUGAGAGACUGCCGGGGUUAACUCGGAGGAAGGUGGGGAUGACGUCAAAUCAUCAUGCCCUUUAUGCCCAGGGCUUCACACAUGCUACAAUGGUUAGUACAACGCGCUGCAAGCCUGUGAGGGUGAGCGAAUCGCUGAAAGCUAAUCUCAGUUCGGAUUGGGGUCUGCAACUCGACCCCAUGAAGUCGGAGUCGCUAGUAAUCGCAGAUCAGCAAUGCUGCGGUGAAUACGUUCCCGGGCCUUGUACACACCGCCCGUCACGUCAUGAAAGUUGGUAACACCCGAAGCCCAUGGCCUAACCACCGUUUGGUGGGGGGAGUGGUCGAAGGUGGGAUUGGCGAUUGGGACGAAGUCGUAACAAGGUAGCCGU